rnacentral:tRNA from 1 species
AAAUAAGUAGGUUAAAUUAGAAAAAACUGGCAAAUUGUGGAUUUGUAGAUUACGAUUUUGUACUUA